AUAGCCUCCGAAUAACGAGAAGGUGAAAUAUAGGAACACCUUCUGGUUCAGACAGAGGCUUAUAUCAAAACUCGAAUCAGUGUUUUUGUGAGUGAAAAAGCUCUCUCCUUUUUCGCCCUUCAAAUUCCAAUAUCCUUUCAUGGAUAGAUUCGAAUAUCU